CCUACGGGAGGCAGCAGUGAGGAAUAUUGGUCAAUGGGCGCGAGCCUGAACCAGCCAAGUAGCGUGAAGGAUGACAGCCCUACGGGUUGUAAACUUCUUUUAUAAAGGAAUAAAGUGAGGCACGUGUGCCUUUUUGUAUGUACUUUAUGAAUAAGGAUCGGCUAACUCCGUGCCAGCAGCCGCGGUAAUACGGAGGAUCCGAGCGUUAUCCGGAUUUAUUGGGUUUAAAGGGGGCGUAGGUGGGUUGUUAAGUCAGUUGUGAAAGUUUGCGGCUCAACCGUAACAUUGCAAUUGAUACUGGCAGCCUUGAGUACCGUUGAGGUAGGCGGACUUCGUGGUGUAGCGGUGAAAUGCUUAGAUAUCACG
rnacentral:rRNA from 1 species